ensembl:snoRNA
AAGCCAGUCAGUGAAUCUGCUUACCUGAUUGUGUUUCUGCAGAAAUGUUUAUAACUGGUGACAGCAAUGCCAUGUUAGGAGCCUUAAUGACGUUGGGGUCUUUAAGGUCUCUGAAAGCGGCUAUAUGA